UCACUUGUGGGGGGAUUAGUGGCGAACGGGUGAGUAACACGUGAGUAACCUGCCCUUAACUCUGGGAUAAGCCUGGGAAACUGGGUCUAAUACCGGAUAUGACUCCUCAUCGCAUGGUGGGGGGUGGAAAGCUUUAUUGUGGUUUUGGAUGGACUCGCGGCCUAUCAGCUUGUUGGUGAGGUAAUGGCUCACCAAGGCGACUUGACGCGGUAGACCGGCCUAGAGAGGGUGACCGGCCACACUGGGACUGAGACACGGCCCAGACUCCUACGGGAGGCAGCAGUGGGGAAUAUUGCACAAUGGGCGAAAGCCUGAUGCAGCGACGCCGCGUGAGGGAUGACGGCCUUCGGGUUGUAAACCUCUUUCAGUAGGGAAGAAGCGAAAGUGACGGUACCUGCAGAAGAAGCGCCGGCUAACUACGUGCCAGCAGCCGCGGUAAUACGUAGGGCGCAAGCGUUAUCCGGAAUUAUUGGGCGUAAAGAGCUCGUAGGCGGUUUGUCGCGUCUGCCGUGAAAGUCCCGGGGCUCAACUCCGGGAUCUGCGGUGGGUACGGGCAGACUAGAGUGAUGUAGGGGAGACUGGAAUUCCUGGUGUAGCGGUGAAAUGCGCAGAUAUCAGGAGGAACACCGAUGGCGAAGGCAGGUCUCUGGGCAUUAACUGACGCUGAGGAGCGAAAGCAUGGGGAGCGAACAGGAUUAGAUACCCUGGUAGUCCAUGCCGUAAACGUUGGGCACUAGGUGUGGGGGACAUUCCACGUUUUCCGCGCCGUAGCUAACGCAUUAAGUGCCCCGCCUGGGGAGUACGGCCGCAAGGCUAAAACUCAAAGGAAUUUGACGGGGGCCCGCACAAGCGGCGGAGCAUGCGGAUUAAUUCGAUGCAACGCGAAGAACCUUACCAAGGCUUGACAUGAACCGGUAAUACCUGGAAACAGGUGCCCCCGCUUGCGGUCGGUUUACAGGUGGUGCAUGGUUGUCGUCAGCUCGUGUCGUGAGAUGUUGGGUUAAGUCCCGCAACGAGCGCAACCCUCGUUCUAUGUUGCCAGCGCGUUAUGGCGGGGACUCAUAGGAGACUGGCCGGGGUCAACUCGGAGGAAGGUGGGGACGAGCGUCAAAUCAUCAUGCCCCUUAUGUCUUGGGCUUCACGCAUGCUACAAUGGCCGGUACACAAGGGUUGCGAUACUGUGAGGUGGAGCUAAUCCCAAAAAGCCGGUCUCAGUUCGGAUUGGGGUCUGCAACUCGACCCCAUGAAGUCGGAGUCGCUAGUAAUCGCAGAUCAGCAACGCUGCGGUGAAUACGUUCCCGGGCCUUGUACACACCGCCCGUCAAGUCACGAAAGUUGGUAACACCCGAAGCC
rnacentral:rRNA from 1 species